AUUGAACGCUGGCGGCAGGCCUAACACAUGCAAGUCGAGCGGAUGAAGGGAGCUUGCUCCUGGAUUCAGCGGCGGACGGGUGAGUAAUGCCUAGGAAUCUGCCUGGUAGUGGGGGAUAACGUCCGGAAACGGGCGCUAAUACCGCAUACGUCCUGAGGGAGAAAGUGGGGGAUCUUCGGACCUCACGCUAUCAGAUGAGCCUAGGUCGGAUUAGCUAGUUGGUGGGGUAAAGGCCUGCCAAGGCGACGAUCCGUAACUGGUCUGAGAGGAUGAUCAGUCACACUGGAACUGAGACACGGUCCAGACUCCUACGGGAGGCAGCAGUGGGGAAUAUUGGACAAUGGGCGAAAGCCUGAUCCAGCCAUGCCGCGUGUGUGAAGAAGGUCUUCGGAUUGUAAAGCACUUUAAGUUGGGAGGAAGGGCAGUAAGUUAAUACCUUGCUGUUUUGACGUUACCAACAGAAUAAGCACCGGCUAACUUCGUGC
rnacentral:rRNA from 1 species